rnacentral:siRNA from 1 species
GAACCUCCUCAUCUGGGCCUGGUC